rnacentral:rRNA from 1 species
CAGCCAUGCCGCGUGAGGAAGACGCCCUACGGGUUGUAAACUGCUUUUAUACGGGAAGAAUAAUCACGACGUGUCGUGGGAUGACGGUACCGUAAGAAUAAGGACCGGCUAACUCCGUGCCAGCAGCCGCGGUAAUACGGAGGGUCCGAGCGUUAUCCGGAAUUAUUGGGUUUAAAGGGUCCGCAGGCGGGCUGAUAAGUCAGGGGUGAAAUGGUGCGGCUCAACCGUAGCACUGCCCUUGAUACUGUUAGUCUUGAGUAAUGGUGGAGUGGCCGGAAUAUGUAGUGUACCGGUGAAAUGCAUAAAUAUUACAUAGAACACCGAUCGCGAAGGCAGGUCACUAACCAUUUACUGACGCUGAUGGACGAAAGCGUGGGGAGCGAACAGGAUUAGAUACCCUGGUAG